CAGAGUGUUAACAUUGAUUUUCUGGAGAAGGAAAGGCAAUAUGAAUACGGAAACAAUUUUUUAAAAAGGCAUUUAGGGACACCUGGGUGACUCAGUCAGUUAAGAGUCCACCUUGGGCUCAGGUUAUAAUCCCAGGGUCCUGGGAUUGGAUCCCACAUUGGGUUCCUUGUUCAAAGGGGAGCUUACUUCUCUCUCUGCUCUCCCCCAGCUCGUUCUCUCUCUCUCUCUCUCUCUCUUUCUCUCUCAUGUGCACAUUGUGCGUGCACAAAAAAAAUAAAAAUACUUAAAAAAAUAAAAAGGCAUCUAGGAUAAUAACCAUUUUUGCCAACUUUUUGUAAACUAACACUUGUGUGUGCAUAUAAAUGCAUAGAAAGGCAGACCAAGGGACAGACAUCAACAUUAUAAGGGUGAAUUUUCUCAGAGUAGGAGGAUUUCAGUUGAUUUUAAUUGUCUUUCUUUUUCUUUUCAGCAAACUUAAAUUUUUACCGUGAUCAACAUUAUUUUUUUCAUUGUGGGGGAGAAAAGUUGUGUGUGGGGGUCAGAACCAGCAUUUUAAACACACUCUCCAGGCCACUUGUUCGCCGACUGACAUUUGAGAACUUGUCUCCAUUAUCCUUAGGCUGUGUUGUUUCACAUGGUCUCCUCCUCUGGAAGACAUAGUGGGUCAGCAACAACCCGCCUUCUAAUCAGAGAUGGCUGUGCCAGCUGGAGGACCGAUUGCCUCACACACCUUGGAGGCCCAGGCAGGAAGGAAGGUGGGCCUUGGCUANNNNNNNNNNNNNNNNNNNNNNAAGAGAUCUUUCUUGGAGGUAGGCCCUGCGCACCUGUGCCUUCUUGGACCCAGGACUGCCAAGAGGAGAUGGCCAUUGACAAGGAGCAGUUGCUACCAUGCCAAAGCUCCCUGGAAGAGGAAAUUCCUUUCCAACAGAGCUCUCCAGGAGAAGCAGAGAAAGAUCUCCGUGCUCCGAGAUUAGCUAGGAUUGCUGGGGAGGCACGUGGUGAUGAUGGUAACAGCAACAGUAAUGACACACUGUGGGUCUGCUCUCAGGCACAGCACCAAACGCUUGACCUGGAUUGUUUCAUUUAAUCUACUCGGCAACCACGUGAGAUAGGUGUUUCAGUUGUCUCCAUUUUACAGAUGAAGAAACUGAGGUAGAGUGAGGUUAAACCACUUGUCAAAGUCAGCGCCAGCUUUGAAUCCUGGUGGUCUGAGCUGGGGUCUUGGCUCUGUCCAACUUUGUGAUGUUGCCUCCUCCUGGAAGUUCUUGCUGAUCAGCUGUAAACAGCUCAGAGGUUUCUUUAUGAAAAAGGUAUAAAUAAAGGAAAAUGCAGAUAGUCUUUUUUUCUUAAC
rnacentral:lncRNA from 1 species